rnacentral:rRNA from 1 species
UACGUAGGGGGCAAGCGUUGUCCGGAUUUAUUGGGCGUAAAGAGCGUGUAGGCGGUUCGGUAGGUCCGUUGUGAAAACUCGAGGCUCAACCUCGAGACGCCGAUGGAAACCCUCGAACUAGAGUCCGGAAGAGGAGAGUGGAAUUCCUGGUGUAGCGGUGAGAUGCGCAGAUAUCAGGAAGAACACCCGUGGCUAAGGCGGCUCUCUAGUACGGUACUGACGCUGAGACGCGAAAGCGUGGGGAGCGAACAGG